rnacentral:rRNA from 1 species
GACGAACGCUGGCGGCGUGCUUAACACAUGCAAGUCGAACGGUGAAGCGCCUUCCUUUUUGGUGGGUGUGGAUGAGUGGCGAACGGGUGAGUAACACGUGAGUAACCUGCCCCCUUCUUCUGGAUAACCGCAUGAAAGUGUGGCUAAUACGGGAUAUUCUGGGUCUGUCGCAUGAUGGGUCUGGGAAAGAUAUUGUUUCGGUGGGGGAUGGGCUCGCGGCCUAUCAGCUUGUUGGUGGGGUGAUGGCCUACCAAGGCGGGGACGGGUAGCCGGCCUGAGAGGGUGGACGGUCACACUGGGACUGAGACACGGCCCAGACUCCUACGGGAGGCAGCAGUGGGGAAUAUUGCACAAUGGGCGCAAGCCUGAUGCAGCGACGCCGCGUGAGGGAUGGAGGCCUUCGGGUUGUGAACCUCUUUCGCCAGUGAAGCAGGCCUGCCUCGUUUGUGGGUGGGUUGACGGUAGCUGGAUAAGAAGCGCCGGCUAACUACGUGC